CACGGGGGGAGCAAGCGUUGUUCGGAAUCACUGGGCGUAAAGGGCGUGUAGGCGGUCAGGUAAGUGGAAUGUGAAAUCCCUCGGCUCACCCGAGGACCUGCAUCCCAAACUGCCUGGCUUGAGUAUGGGAGAGGAUGAGGGAAUUCCUGGUGUAGCGGUGAAAUGCGUAGAUAUCAGGAGGAACACCAGUGGCGAAGGCGCUCAUCUGGCCCAAUACUGACGCUGAAGCGCGAAAGCUAGGGGAGCAAACGGG
rnacentral:rRNA from 1 species